rnacentral:rRNA from 1 species
GGGGAAUAUUGCACAAUGGACGAAAGUCUGAUGCAGCGACGCCGCGUGAGGGAAGAAGGUUUUCGGAUUGUAAACCUCUGUCUUCGGGGACGAUAAUGACGGUACCCGAGGAGGAAGCCACGGCUAACUACGUGCCAGCAGCCGCGGUAAAACGUAGGUGGCAAGCGUUGUCCGGAAUUACUGGGUGUAAAGGGAGCGCAGGCGGAAUGAUAAGUUGGACGUGAAAUCUAUGGGCUCAACCCAUAGCGUGCGUUCAAAACUAUUGUUCUUGAGUAAUGUAGAGGUAGGCGGAAUUCCCGGUGUAGCGGUGGAAUGCGUAGAUAUCGGGAGGAACACCAGUGGCGAAGGCGGCCUACUGGGCAUUUACUGACGCUGAGGCUCGAAAGUAUGGGGAGCAAAC